rnacentral:rRNA from 1 species
AUUGAACGCUGGCGGCACGCUUAACACAUGCAAGUCGAACGGUAGCGGAGUGCAUUUAUGUACAGACGACGAGUGGCGAACGGGUGAGUAACGCGUAGGAAUAUGUCAUAUAGAGUGGGACAACUUGGGGAAACUCAAGCUAAUACCGCAUGAUAUCUUAGGAUUAAAGAUAGGGACCUUCGGGCCUUUCGCUAUAUGGGUAGCCUGCGUACGAUUAGUUAGUUGGUAGGGUAAAGGCCUACCAAGGCGAUGAUCGUUAGCUGGUCUGAGAGGACGGACAGCCACACUGGGACUGAGACACGGCCCAGACUCCUACGGGAGGCAGCAGUGGGGAAUAUUGGACAAUGGGGGGAACCCGUGAUCCAGCGAUGCCGCGUGUGUGAAGAAGGCCUGCGGGUUGUAAAGCACUUUCAGUUAGGAGGAAGUAUGUUAGGUUAAGAGCUAGACAUAUUGACGUUACUGACAGAAGAAGCACCGGCUAACUCCGUGCC